AGUGAACGCUGGCGGUAGGCCUAACACAUGCAAGUCGAACGGCAGCACAGUAAGAGCUUGCUCUUACGGGUGGCGAGUGGCGGACGGGUGAGGAAUACAUCGGAAUCUACUUUUUCGUGGGGGAUAACGUAGGGAAACUUACGCUAAUACCGCAUACGACCUACGGGUGAAAGCAGGGGAUCUUCGGACCUUGCGCGAUUGAAUGAGCCGAUGUCGGAUUAGCUAGUUGGCGGGGUAAAGGCCCACCAAGGCGACGAUCCGUAGCUGGUCUGAGAGGAUGAUCAGCCACACUGGAACUGAGACACGGUCCAGACUCCUACGGGAGGCAGCAGUGGGGAAUAUUGGACAAUGGGCGCAAGCCUGAUAGCCAUACCGCGUGGGUGAAGAAGGCCUUCGGGUUGUAAAGCCCUUUUGUUGGGAAAGAAAAGCAGCAGGUUAAUACCCCGCUGUUCUGACGGUACCCAAAGAAUAAGCACCGGCUAACUUCGUG
rnacentral:rRNA from 1 species